ACACAGCCUGCUGCCAGACAGGGUCAUGGUUGGUUAGACCAGGGAACACAGCCUGCUGCCAGACAGGGUCAUGGUUGGUUAGACCAGGGAACACAGCCUGCUGCCAGACAGGGCCAUGGUUGGUUAGACCAGGGAACACAGCCUGCUGCCAGACAGGGCCAUGGUUGGUUAGACCAGGGAACACAGCCUGCUGCCAGACAGGGCCAUGGUUGGUUAGACCAGGGAACACAGCCUGCUGCCAGACAGGGCCAUGGUUGGUUAGACCAGGGAACACAGUCUGCUGCCAGGAAGGGUCAUGAUCAGUUAGAUGAAAGUGCUCUCUCAGUGCAACAUUUGCUUGCAGAUCAGUCAGUUCCAUCUGUAGAGAUCCAGCAUGUGUCCACUUUGAACGUCUGUGUCGUCACCUCCUUUUUGAAAAUCCUCUGACAUCUGUGAUGAGGAAUGGAUUCUCAAAUUAGAAGAAGGAGCUACUGUCCAAAGGCUGAAGCUGUCAAAGCGAUUUUUCAGACGUUUACAAUCAGCAUAUCUAUGAAGUCAACAUGAGGAGAAACAUCUCUCUAACCCUGAAUCUGUUCCUGUACUUUGGGGAAGUGUGCUCCGUCUCCUUCAACACAUUCCAGUUUCCUAUGGAAGGAGAGGACAGAUUUUCAUCAAAUCACAAACUGAAUUGUUCUUGCCCUGUAGUUUCACGUUGAGCUCAUUAAAGGUGUGAUGUCGACCAAAAAAAUUCAACAAUAUCCAUUUUGCUCUCGUCUUGUAAAAAAAAAGUGAAAACUCUGUUGCCUUCUGAGCUGUACUAGGAAAGCUAUUAACUCCUUUUGAAUGGACCAAAAGCGUUUCAACACCCUGCUUUUACUGAGCCGUCUCACGUUGUCGUGCAGCAGUAGGUCAUUUGCCUUUCAACUUCUUUCCAGGAAUUCUCUCAGCGGGACGAUGUUGAUGAGGAUGAUGCCCUGAGGAAGUGGAUGAGUUUCAUCAUUGUAUUCAUCAUUUCAACAUACUCUUCUGACAGAUUGGCGCAUGGGGGGGGGGAUAGACUGAUGAAUGAUCAACAGUGGUAAGCUGUGAGAUCAGGAUUGUCCUCUUUCAGCUGUGCCAAAGCUCCUCUCUCUCUUCCUGUCAUGGCAGGGGACCCUGUCUGAGGUGGUAGAGACCACUUGUUUUAGGUCUGUCCCCCUCUCUCUCUUCCUGUCAUGGCAGGGGACCCUGUCUGAGGUGGUAGAGGCCUCUUGUUUUAGGUCUGUCCCCCUCUCUCUCUUCCUGUCAUGGCAGGGGACCCUGUCUGAGGUGGUAGAGGCCUCUUGUUUUAGGUCUGUCCCCCUCUCUCUCUUCCUGUCAUGGCAGGGGACCCUGUCUGAGGUGGUAGAGGCCUCUUGUUUUAGGUCUGUCCCCCUCUCUCUCUUCCUGUCAUGGCAGGGGACCCAGUCUGAGGUGGUAG
rnacentral:lncRNA from 1 species